rnacentral:rRNA from 1 species
UUCAGGCUUAACACAUGCAAGUCGAGGGGCAGCAUGGUCUUAGCUUGCUAAGGCCGAUGGCGACCGGCGCACGGGUGAGUAACACGUAUCCAACCUGCCGUCUACUCUUGGACAGCCUUCUGAAAGGAAGAUUAAUACAAGAUGGCAUCAUGAGUCCGCAUGUUCACAUGAUUAAAGGUAUUCCGGUAGACGAUGGGGAUGCGUUCCAUUAGAUAGUAGGCGGGGUAACGGCCCACCUAGUCUUCGAUGGAUAGGGGUUCUGAGAGGAAGGUCCCCCACAUUGGAACUGAGACACGGUCCAAACUCCUACGGGAGGCAGCAGUGAGGAAUAUUGGUCAAUGGGCGAGAGCCUGAACCAGCCAAGUAGCGUGAAGGAUGACUGCCCUAUGGGUUGUAAACUUCUUUUAUAAAGGAAUAAAGUCGGGUAUGCAUACCCGUUUGCAUGUACUUUAUGAAUAAGGAUCGGCUAACUCCGUGCCAGCAGCCGCGGUAAUACGGAGGAUCCGAGCGUUAUCCGGAUUUAUUGGGUUUAAAGGGAGCGUAGAUGGAUGUUUAAGUCAGUUGUGAAAGUUUGCGGCUCAACCGUAAAAUUGCAGUUGAUACUGGAUAUCUUGAGUGCAGUUGAGGCAGGCGGAAUUCGUGGUGUAGCGGUGAAAUGCUUAGAUAUCACGAAGAACUCCGAUUGCGAAGGCAGCCUGCUAAGCUGCAACUGACAUUGAGGCUCGAAAGUGUGGGUAUCAAACAGGAUUAGAUACCCUGGUAGUCCACACGGUAAACGAUGAAUACUCGCUGUUUGCGAUAUACAGCAAGCGGCCAAGCGAAAGCGUUAAGUAUUCCACCUGGGGAGUACGCCGGCAACGGUGAAACUCAAAGGAAUUGACGGGGGCCCGCACAAGCGGAGGAACAUGUGGUUUAAUUCGAUGAUACGCGAGGAACCUUACCCGGGCUUAAAUUGCAGAUGAAUUACGGUGAAAGCCGUAAGCCGCAAGGCAUCUGUGAAGGUGCUGCAUGGUUGUCGUCAGCUCGUGCCGUGAGGUGUCGGCUUAAGUGCCGUAACGAGCGCAACCCUUGUUGUCAGUUACUAACAGGUUCCGCUGAGGACUCUGACAAGACUGCCAUCGUAAGAUGUGAGGAAGGUGGGGAUGACGUCAAAUCAGCACGGCCCUUACGUCCGGGGCUACACACGUGUUACAAUGGGGGGGUACAGAGGGCCGCUACCACGCGAGUGGAUGCCAAUCCCAAAAACCUCUCUCAGUUCGGACUGGAGUCUGCAACCCGACUCCACGAAGCUGGAUUCGCUAGUAAUCGCGCAUCAGCCACGGCGCGGUGAAUACGUUCCCGGGCCUUGUACACACCGCCCGUCAAGCCAUGGGAGCCGGGGGUACCUGAAGUGCGUAACCGCGAGGAGCGCCCUAGGGUAAAACUGGUGACUGGG